rnacentral:lncRNA from 1 species
UGUCUGAAGCUUUGGAACUAUGAGAAUUAGUCAUGCUAAUUACAUCUGUUCUCAGCAUUCAAGAUCUUCUGACGUCGUGGCAAGUGAUAAGUCCGAGGGCUGCCGUAGAGUCAACCAAGCAUUAAAAGUCAUGGGAAGCUCUAAAGCCUCUCUUAUGAUAUGACCUGUUUUCUAUCUUGUCUUUGGGCCCCAGCUACUCUUUAGGCUCACUGUUGAUUACCAUCUGUGAUAAUUUGGUGUGACAGACAACAUGUUUCCAAACAAAGGGGAUGAAUGGUCUGGAAUUUGAGAAAAGAAUAAGAGAAAAAAAAAUUCAGUCUGAAAUAAUGGAGACUCGGAGAACGUGUUUUCAAAGACUUAAAGUAAUGGAUACGGACCAAGAGUGGCAAAAGAAAUCUUGAAAAUGAAUAAAAAAGAAGAACUCAUAAUUCCUGAUUUUAAAGUAUGUUUCAAAGCUAAAGCAAUCAAGACAGUGUGGUACUGGUAUAAGGACAGACAGAGAUCAAUGAAAUUGAAUUGAGAGGCCAGAAAUAGACUCUUACACUAAUAGCCAAUUCAUUUCCAACAAAUCUGCUAAGAUAAUAUGAAGAGAGAAAGAAUGGUCUUUUUAACAUAUGGUGCUGGUACAGUGGGAUAAUCACAUGCAAAAGAGUGAAAUUGGACACCUACUUCAUGCUGUAUGCAAAAAUUAAGUCGAAAUGGAUCACAGACCUAAAUGUUAAAAAGGUAAAUCUAUAAACUGUUAGAAGGAAACAUGGGACUAAACUUCUGUGACUUUGAAUUAG